rnacentral:rRNA from 1 species
AUGGAAGCAGAACUCACAGCAUUAGACACUGCCACUGUUGAAGCAGAGUGGCUUCGUGAGCUCUUGAUGGACUUACCUAUGGUUGAAAAGCCAAUAACCCAUAUCCUGAUGAGCUGUGAUAAUCAAACUGUGAUCAUCAAGAUAAACAGUUCUAAGGACAAUAUGAAGUCCUCAAGGCAUGUGAAGAGGAGACUAAAAUCUGUCACAAAAUUGAGGAACUCCGAAGUUAUUACGUUGGAUUAUAUCCAAACGUCGAAAAACUUGGCAGAUCCCUUCACAAAGGGUCUAUCACGUAAUGUGAUAGAUAAUGCAUCGAUGGAGAUGGGUCUGAGACCCACC